UUUCCAACAACCUCGUCACAGCACCUCAGCUAUAGACUGCCCUAACACCACCUCCACCAGAAAUGAAAUGAAAUCAGACUAGCGGGUAUCAUCAUCAAAGCCAUCUGAUGUCAGAGUGACUGAAAAUCAAAUUACCAUCGGAAAUGUAAGCUUUCUUUUUUGGAACAUGUUGGCUUUACGUUCUAACUCACUAUAAAAACUCUAGGUGUCGUCACGCCUAAGUUAUCUUUUUUUUUUCACUGUUUGAUUGUAGUAGGGGUUCACGUAGGAUGGUUAAGCCAGGAGCAGGACCGAGACUUUGGUUGUGUUUAAUCACGGUUGCGGAUAAACACAAAAAAAAGGGUUAUUCAUCUAAAAGUAAUAGUUCGAGCGGGUAACAGUCUGAAAGCGAAUGAGCUAACUAAUAUAUAAGUAUAUAGAGCAGAGCGAGUAAGCAAAAAGAAUAUAUUGAUCGUACAAGCAUUUCCCCUUCACUCAUCACCAAUGAAAGCGCUUUGUCCCACCUAUCAGAAAAAGGCCCUCACCCAUCGGACUAGGAAUUGCUAUUUCAUCCGAUUCAGUUAGCUCUAUUCUGUGACCUGAGGGCGGGAACCAUCUUCUUAGGGUAGGGGUAGCCCCACUUACUUUUGAGUCUAUCAACUGUGACAAGGGCUGCGGGAACAAGUGAUGUGCUUUCCCCGACAGAUACCACUAUUCAUUACCAUGAACCGGUCCCUUUUUAGUAUAGGCAACCAAUGCCAAGAAAAGUACCGGUUGUUCACCACCUAAAACUUUAAAAAUGUAAAUCACCACUAAAAACAAAAUCAGAAAAUUUAUAUUGUUAACCUUUUCUAAUGUUUUGAGCUCUAGCAUUCUAUUCAGCGUUUUGAGACUUUGAGUAGAUUCAUAUGAUGCAUUACGACUUGCAUGUAUGGUUGAGUUUGAUUUUUCGAGAGUUUUAGAGUUCAUUUGGAAGAGUAAUUUUAAUUCGAAAACCUUAAGUCGGAAGAGUUGACCAAUGUUUGACUUUUGAAUAAACGACCUCGGAAUCGAAAUUGGUUUCAAUAGGUUUGUAUGGUGAUUUUGGAAUUGGUCGUGUGUUUGAAUUUGGAUUUAGAGGUUCCUAGAAGAUUUUGACCCUAUUUGUAAAAGGUUGGCAAGUUGAAGAAUUGGAGAGUUCAUAGGUUUUACCAAGAGUUAACUUUGGCAUUAUCGUGCUUUGAUUGGUGAUUCGAGACUUCAGAUAGGUUUAUUUGGUUGAUUGGGACUUGUGUGCAAAUUUUGGUUGUGAUCCGGUAUGUCUAAGUGUGAUUCGUACAAGUUCGGUGAAGUUUGAAUGUAUAAAAAUUAAGAGAAUACUUCGGUCUUUAAUUCUUGGAUUUGAUAUUAUUUAUGGUGUUUUGAGCCUUUGGAUAAGUUGGUUUAUGUAUACGGACUUGUUGACAUGUUUGAACGGGGUCCCGAGCAAGUUUCAGAUCAUUUUGAACCACUUUGAGGUUGCUGAUUUUCUUGUGUUCAGGCAUGCAUCGUGAUCGUGGGCUUGGAGUCGCGAUCGCGAAGAGUUGUUGUGGACCUGGGAUGUUUGUUCAUCGCGGCGGCAAAAUGUUGCACACGAUCACAGAGUAGGAUCUUGAGGCGGUGUGUUUCUGGUCUCCGCAUUCGCGUAGAGGAAGAGGUCGACUAGAGGUUGUUGUUCACGUUCGCAUUUGGGUAUCGCGUUCAAAAUGGAGGCAGAACUAGAGAGUUUCGUGUUCGCGCAGGGCAGGUCUCUAUCGUCGAGGCUUAUUGUGGGUAGUAGCAUUUUUGUGAUUCACGAUCGCGAAGGAUUUACCUAGAGCAGACCUUUAAGUGUUAUAUUUUCGGACUUUUGCCCAAUAUUUCAUAUUUUGCGCUCUAAACUUCGAGAGGAGGAGAAUUUGAAGAGAAAUUUCACUACUACAUUAGAGAUAAUUGAUUUUUACUUAUAUUUGGCUUUAUAUCUUGAUUUUUUUUAUGGAUUUUUACAUCUAAAAUUUGAAAAUUUAAAGUAAAAUCUAGGGUUUUUAUCUACAACUUAAGAGGUGUAUUUGGGGAGUUUAGGGUUGAUUUGGACUCAGUUUUGGAAUCUAAUCACAUAUUUGAACUCGUGAGGUUAUGAGUAGUCGUGAUCUACCCCUUGACUCAAAUUUUAACUGUGUGGGCCUAGUUUGACUUUGGGAUUUGAUUAAAGAUCGAAGCUUUAUUGUUUGGAGUUGUUUCCUGUGGCUUUAUUUGAUGUUGUUGAGUUGUUUUUUUUUACUAGAUUCGAGUCGCUUGUAGUUGAAUUUGGACGGUAGGCGAUUGUUGCUUGAUUUUAGCUUACCGGGCAGAGGUAAGUCUCUUGACUAUCCUUGUAAGAGGGAAUUCUACCCAUAGGUGAUUUGUUUGCUACUUGAUUCACGAUUUAGGAGGCACGUAUAUGCGAGGUGACAAACAUAUUUGCAUAGCUAAGUCUUGACCUUAUCCAAUAUUAUUGACUUGGAUUUAUGCUUUGUUGGAUUAUGUGAAGUUGUUAUCCCUAUUUAAUUGAUUUUAUGACCUCAUGAUAAUAUAUAUCUAUGAUCUAGGAGCAUGCCUAGGAAUAUGACUUAUUGACUUAACAUAAAGGAUUGUUUUGCCAUGUUGAGCUUUAUUAUAAAUCCGUAGUCAUACACUUGUCUUAUUUGAUCCAUAAUUAUUAUGGUUUAUAUGGCCUAAUUGACCAUGAUAAAUAAUAUGAUUAAGCUACGACAUGCUAAAUAGUUUACUGAGUCAUUAUGAUAAAUUGUGUUACAUGAUUUACCAUAGCCAUCUUUUAGUCAUAUGAGCUUUUUAUCGGCAUUUUUAUUAUCAUGUCCGGUGCCCUUUUAUUACAUCGUUUACAUAUAUAUAUAUAUAUAUAUAUAUAUAUAUAUAUAUAUAUAUACACACACACACACACAUAUUGGAGAGUUGGAUAUUGCCGAAAUAUUGAGGAAUUUGGCACUAAGGACCAUAUUAAUGAAUGAUUGAUGAUAUUAUGAUUGGAACGGAUUGCGGUGCAAUGAUUAAUUGAUGUGAUUGAUCAUUAAAUAUAAAAUGAUCAACGGUUUAUGUAUAUGUCUCUCCGAAGCCAGAUGAGUACCCAUGUUACCUUGGGCCCUGUGAGCGUAGGCACCCGUGAUUCUUUUGUUGUUUGUUGGACAUGUGGCAUAUGUGAGGCACAUAGAUUUGUGAUGUGAGCUGUUGAUAUUAGAUCAGGGGUAUGCAUUGGAAGCAUAGACUCAUGCAUUGGCUCUAAUACACAUGGAUAUUAGAUUCUAAGCAUACAUAUGUACAUAUUUUUUUUAACUCAUGCAAUGAUUUGAUAUAAAUAUUAUUGACAUAAAUCAUAUCUUGGUAUGAGGAUCAAGGCGUUGAUGUCUUAAUUGCUCUCUUUACCUAUUAAGCAUGCCUAAAUUCUGUGUGACUUGUAUUUCUUUGAGUUGUCGUAUUUAUUUGAUGAGAGCAUGCUUAUUUCUGUAUUUUUAUUUAUGUUUUACCUAAUUAUUGUAUGGAUAGUGAGUGUCGAUGUCUAUUCUCGCCACUAUUUCUUCGAGGCUAGAAUUGAUACUUACUACUACCGUAAUUUUGUACUCAUACUAUACUUCUGCAUAUUUUUGUGCAGGUUAAGAGACAAGUAUUAGUGGUACCAUAGAGUUGAGUAGGAUGCAUUAUAUUGGAGACUUCGUGAUGAGCGCCUAUUCUUGAUCCAAUUCGCAGCACAUGGAGUCCCAGUCCCUACUUAUUUAUUUUUUGUUCACGUAUUCUUUCCGGACAAAUAUGUUUAUUCAGUGACUCUAGUUACUCUUAUUAAAUGCCCAUGAUAUAGUGACACCGGAUUGUGGAUAGUUGAUUAGACAACUGUGAUUAUGUUUAGACCAUCUCACAGAUUAUGUGCUCAUAUUAUUGAUUAAAAAUUCAUUUCGCU
rnacentral:lncRNA from 1 species